CACAGGAACAAGAAGGCUUAAAC
rnacentral:piRNA from 1 species